rnacentral:rRNA from 1 species
GGGUUAGUAGGUUGGUCAUGCCUCCGGUAUGUACUGGUCUCACUGAUUCCUCCUUCCUGAUGAACCGUAAUGCCAUUAAUUUGGUGUUGCGGGGAAUUUGGACUGUUACUUUGAAAAAAUUAGAGUGUUUAAAGCAGGCAUCCGCUUGAAUACAUUAGCAUGGAAUAACAGAAUAAGACUUGGGUUCUAUUUUGUUGGUUCUUAGAGCUGAAGUAAUGAUUAAUAGGGAUAGUUG